rnacentral:rRNA from 1 species
AGAGGUCGAUUUUGGCUCAGAACGAACGCUGGCGGCGUGCCUAACACAUGCAAGUCGUACGAGAAAAUCCGCUUCGGCAGGUGAGUAAAGUGGCGCACGGGUGAGUAACGCGUGGAUAAUCUGCCUUUAAGCGGGGAAUAACUUACCGAAAGGUGGGCUAAUACCCCAUAAAGCUAUGGAGCUCCGGUUUUCAUAGCCAAAGAGAGCCUCUGCAUGCAAGCCCUCACUUAGAGAUGAGUCCGCGUACCAUUAGCUAGUUGGUGGGGUAAUGGCCUACCAAGGCGACGAUGGUUAGCUGGUCUGAGAGGAUGAUCAGCCACACUGGAACUGAGACACGGUCCAGACUCCUACGGGAGGCAGCAGUGAGGAAUAUUGCGCAAUGGGGGCAACCCUGACGCAGCAACGCCGCGUGAGUGAGGAAGGUUUUCGGAUCGUAAAGCUCUGUCGGGUGGGAAGAAAUGUAUGGAGGUUAACAGCCUUUGUACUUGACGGUACCGCCAAAGGAAGCACCGGCUAACUCCGUGCCAGCAGCCGCGGUAAUACGGGGGGUGCUAGCGUUGUUCGGAAUCAUUGGGCGUAAAGAGCGUGUAGGCGGCUAGGCAAGUCAGAUGUGAAAUCCCCGGGCUUAACCCAGGACGUGCAUUUGAAACUGCUUGGCUUGAGUAGGGAAGAGGGAAGUGGAAUUCCUGGUGUAGAGGUGAAAUUCGUAGAUAUCAGGAGGAACACCGGUGGCGAAGGCGACUUCCUGGUCCUAUACUGACGCUGAGACGCGAGAGCGUGGGGAGCAANACAGGAUUAGAUACCCUGGUAGUCCACGCCGUAAAC